rnacentral:misc_RNA from 1 species
GAUGAAGAACGUAGCGAAAUGCGAUAAGUAAUGUGAAUUGCAGAAUUCAGUGAAUCAUCGAAUCUUUGAACGCACAUUGCGCCCGCCAGCACUCUGGCGGGCAUGCCUGUUCGAGCGUCAUUUCAACCAUCAAGCCCCCAGGGGCUUGUGCUGGGGCCCUGCGGCUGCCCGCAGGCCCUGAAAAGCAGUGGCGGGCUCGCUGUCACACCGAGCGUAGAAGAUUUUAUCUCGCUCUGGGCGUGCUGCGGGUUCCGGCCGUUAAACCACCCUUUUAACCCAAGGUUGACCUCGGAUCAGGUAGGAAGACCCGCUGAACUUAAGCAUAUCAAUAAGCGGAGGA